rnacentral:rRNA from 1 species
AUUGAACGCUGGCGGCAGGCCUAACACAUGCAAGUCGAACGAGUGGCGGACGGGUGAGUAAUGUCUGGGAAACUGCCUGCUGGAGGGGGAUAACUACUGGAAACGGUAGCUAAUACCGCAUACCAUCGGAUGUGCCCAGCUGGGAUUAGCUAGUAGGUGGGGUAAAGGCUCACCUAGGCGACGAUCCCUAGCUGGUCUGAGAGGAUGACCCGCCACACUGGAACAGAGUAAAGAUCCAGACGCCUACGGGAGGCAGCAGUGGGGAAUAGUGCACAAUGGGCGCAAGCCUGAUGCAGCCAUGCCGCGUGUAUGAAGAAGGCCUUCGGGUUGUAAAGUACUUUCAGCGGGGAGGCGUUACCCGCAGAAGAAGCACCGGCGAACUCCGUGCCAGCCGCCGCGGUAAUAC